CUGGGAGUGCAAGUACUCGAAAGGCAUUACUGGGAAAGGAGUGAGUCUUUUUCAGAUUUGUCUUCUGCUAUUAGGAGCUGUGCUCUUCGACAAAAGUACUCCAAGCUUCGCAUUGUUCUUCCUUUUGAUGAUGGUGAAUAUCGCAUGGGAGCUAGAUCUGGCUAGUUGGAUUUCCACCAUAAAAACACAUUUCAUAUGAUAUUCUUCGUUUUGGGAGACUACAAGAGGACAUCUAAUCCCUGAAAAUGGAGUUACAGGCAGCUGCAAGGUGCCUCCUGUGGACACAGUGAGCUGAACUCUGGUACUCUACAUGAGAGUUCUAGACAUGUCUGAAAUCUGACAAAGAUGCACUGAGAUGUUUGAAUGUGACUCCAGAGUGGUCUUUGCCACCUCCUGCUCUGGUCUCCAGAUGUGAAUCUGAAGCUCUUUGCUGAACAAGACACCUUGACACCAUGGAACACCACCAACCAAAACUAUCAGAUGACUGAAACCAUGAACCCCAAGACAUAAAUAAAUUUCCUAGGAAAUUUCCUGGAAGAAGAAAUGGCUGAAGUCCCAGGGGCAACCAGAGACAGAGCUCUCUGCCAGAGGAGGAACUUAUGUCUGGAAAAGGAUUUAUAAGUUGUGAGACAACCAUAUGGACCUCUUGGAGCAGAGGCAAUGUUGGACAGGGUAGUGGCGAUAGUGGGAUGUGUGUGAGACCACACUUUGGCUGAAUAUUCACCCAUGAAUAUCUCUUGCUAGUUUAAUUAAACCCCUACCCUCAUGUUAGUCCCAAAGACAGACCUUGAAUAGCCAUUGACCUCUUUGUCCCUCUCCCUGAUAUGGCCACAUUAAAUAAAUCUUCUUUAAUAGCA